UUGUAAGAAUUAAUGCUUAUUUGACCUUUGACCUAAAUUCUUCCACAAAAUCUCCUUUACUCUCCAUCUUUCUAAAGUGAAUUUCCCUAUAGUUCACUAACAAAAUGGUCACACCACCGUGUUCUUCAAUCGGAGAAUAGCGAGGAUUUAUCGUUGGAGGUGUCGAUCGAGCACGGAGAGGAAGAUUGCGGUAGACGGUAGAUUCUACAAAGACGCUAGGACUCAACGCCGCUGUCGACCACAAAUUCAUUGUUGUUGUUGUCCUUUCCCCUCCCUCUUCCAAUCGUCGGUCACAUCUUCUCAGCCAGAUGACGUUCAUAUUCUUCAGCCCAACCGCAUCACUGCAUCCUUCACCCACUGCCUAGAUCUGUCGUGUCGUCGUAGCCAAGUCCCUCACGUUGCCGAUUGAAGCCAUUGUCCAGAUUCGAGUCAACGCCAUCGAAUUACGCCCAACCUCUACUUUCCCCCACUUUCAGCCAUCGACCGACCCUCACAUAGACGCCAGAUUUGUCGGUUUAGUCCUCCACCGUCGUCGCUCCUUUGGAUUUUCGCCAGAUCUUGGAAUUGAGUGAAAUUUGGAUUCAAGAUUUGGAGGAUUUUGAGGUGCUGUCCAUCAAUUUGAGACCACUUUUGAGAAAGUUUGGGUAAGUAAUUGGACCUUUGAUCUAUGUUGGGAGCAUUAUUGGAUGAUGUAAAUUGGGUUAUUGGGAAUUUUGGCAUUAUUUGUAAAUUCUAUGUUUGGUUUAUGGCAUAGGACUUGAUUCAUGGUCUUUUUGGACAAACAAAAGUUAAGGUUGAUUGAACUUGUUUGGGCUAAAACUUGAGAUACGUAUCUUGCUACUAGUUCGCCUUCAAACUAUUCGUCCUAACCAUAUGAUGAUGAUUGAACUAUUUUAUUUAAUGAUAUGGACUGUUUUUGAAAAAGUUGUAGGUGUGUCUGUACUAAUGCGUGCUCAGUAUCUAGGCAGAUGUACACUUUACGACUGUUUGUGUGUUCCUUCGAGAUUCACACCCAUGACUAUUUAUGUGCACAUUUAUGACUGUUUGUGUACUUUCGAGUACAUACCUACGACUGAUGGACUGCAUCUUGACUGAUAUGUGUACAUUUGGGAUACACCUACGACUAUUUUGUGUACCAUUGGAUUACACGCCUUUGACUGAUAUGUGUUCCUUUGGGAUCACGUUUAUGACUAAUAUGUGACCCUUCGAAAUCAUCACGAUUUAUAUGUAUAUUUUAUUAUUUUGAA